rnacentral:sRNA from 1 species
AGGCUCGCACCGGCCCGCGGAGCUGCUGCAGUCCAUCGCGCCCUCCUCGCCCUUCCCGCCGACAUCAUGCUCCAGUUCCUGCUUGGAUUUACGUUGGGCAACGUGGUUGGAAUGUAUCUGGCUCAGAACUAUGACGUAAGUGGCCAUAUCCAUGACUUCUUUGAUUCCAUGUAACUGUUUUAGAGUGACUUUUCUUUGUUUGAGGUAAGGUGUGACUUCCAGCAUAAAUGUAGUCCAUAGGGCUGAGGCAAAACUCCUGAGUAUUGUAGAAUGGUUUGCCAUUGUUUGAAAAAGUAAUCCAACUCAUGAAACAGCUGUCCUCCGUAUCACCACAAGAGGGCAAAAUCCCUUCAGUUUAGCUGGGCUCGUGAUCAUCCUCAGCUGUGUCUUGUUAGCCGAGAGUAAUAUUAAGUUGGGCUCUUAAAAUUCUUUGGGAAAUCAUGUGAUAAGUGAGAACUUAAAAAUUAAUUGGAUAAUAUUUUCAGCCCCACUACCCAGUAGUAGAGAUGACUUAGAAUUUUGGAGAUGCAUCUGGGUAGGGGGACUGAAAAAUACAGAUCUAUAUUCCAUCUCCAAAAUUCUAAGUGUAGCACAUUUGAGGACAGAGUUUUGUGAAG